UAUUUACCUGGUGUCCAUGGAAACCUCAACACAAAAUGUUAACGUCUGAUUAUUCUGGAUUAUAAUAGUGAUUUAAUUCAGUCAGUAUUGUACUGAAUGGUCUUAAGAUGGACUGAGAAUAACUAUAUUGUUCUUAAUUUUGCUUUAACUGGAUUUGAGUAAUUAGACCCUAAUAUUCCCAGAGCAGGUUCAAACCUUUCUCUUCUGGUAAGAACAUUAUUUUAUAACUUCUUCCUUCUCAAAGUGAACAUAACAGGAACCUGUCUGUGACGUUCCUCUGGCUGAAGGAACGUCACAUGGAAAAUUUGAUUCAUCUCUCUUACUGUUUUUUUUUAUCCUUCUGUUUUUCACCUCUUCAUAAACAUUCAGAAGCAUAAUGAAAAAAAAUAAUAUUUUUAAGAGUAGUAAAAGUACUCUUAAAAAUACUCAAUACAUACAUACAGUAUGUAUGUAUUGUAAUACAUACAUACUCAAUUGAUUUGAUAUACAAAAAAAUCAUAAUUGAAGUUGAAGAUACUUUUUUAAAAGUAUUUUUUAUGUUAAACAUGUUUAUAAUUUGUACAUUUGAUUUGCCUGACAGUUCUGCCAUGUACUGGUUAUUUUAAAUCAUAGCUGCACAUAUUUAAUCUUCUGAGUCUGUAAGUUUGAGUUUUGUUUUUGGCCCUGGGAAAAAUGAACACAGUUUGAAUUAAACUCUUGGUGUUUAAAAAGAGCUUUGCUUGUCACCACUACUGCACACAACCCACAGUGCCUAAAACAUACUAUUUUUUUAAACAUUUAAUACCUACAAGUGUAAACCAACUAGCUUCACUGUCUGUGACAGUAGAAUGUAAAUUAUACAUGAACUCAGAGAGACUUAGUAACAUUUCCCAAACAUGAAGCUACAACAAAAGCUUCAAAUUUGUUCCAGUUUCUGAAGUAUUUAUUUCUGUAUUUUGUAGAUCAUGUUUUCUGUUAUGAUAGCUUGAGAAAUGCUGGUUGUUUUCAAAAGUGUUCAGUUUAUCUCCUUAUCACUUACAUUCUCUUUCACCUUCCAAUAAACUGCUUCUGGAAAGUGAUGCUGCUGCUCUCUGCCUACAUGAUUAAUGUUUUCUAAUAUAUCAAAUGGAAACCAUGUUUUAGGAAAUAAAUAAAAGCACUUAUUUGCCUUUGGAAAUCUGCUGUUGAUAGAAAAGGAAAUGCCAGCGUGUAGGAAGUGUAACCCCCAUAAACUAUGCUGAUCUGUCUGUAUGUUUAAUGUGUUUGUUAGUUCUUAGAAUGUCCUGUAGAGGGCACUAGACCCACAUUUCUCCUGUGUCGGUACGAGAAGAAGAGUAAAGGAGAGGGAAGAAGAAA